GUCGAACUCUUUGGUUGCUUUCUUCCUCAAGCAGCAAAGCAGAAACUGAUCUUGGUUACUUUCUGGUGAGGUUGAGGCAGAGAAUGGUAAUAAGGACUGGAAAGAAAGUGAGCCUCCAAGCCUCUUGAGUGAGAAGGUACUUGCCAAAAAAAACAAGGUUCAUGGCGUGAUCGCAUACGCCACAACAAUUGACACGGAUGGAUGGCGUGGAAAAGGUCAUUGAGGACCUGAUUUUGAAUCACUAACGAGCCGAUGGUUGGGGUCAGAAACUGUGGCCAAAGAAUCUGUGCAUGCUACAUUCAGUUUUCAUAUGAUUAUAUGAACUUUCAUAGUGGAGGCAUCACCGUGGAGAGGAGAUGCAUUGAAAUUAAAAGGAAGAAGCUUCUAUCUCCCACGAAACUGCACAGGCCCGGCUUCAGUUAUGCCAUACUGAUAGUGUUUCGCUCAAAAGCAGCAUACUAGCUAAUUUGUGUUCCUCAUUGCAUCAUCUGGUUGGCUUUUGCGGUGUGAGAUGAAAUUCCCAUAGCAGUGGUCUUGGUAGUCUUUAGAGUUAUACUUCCUGUAUUAUAUUUGUAAACCUACUACUUGGCUCUGCACCUCAUAGAAUUCUCGGACAGGUCCCUGAAAACCUGAUUUGUGUAUCCUGUAAUUCCAAUAUGCUAGCUAGGGAGUUACUAGUUUAAUUUA